GCGGAUAUGGUGUAACGGCAGCAUGUGAGUCUUCCAAACUCUUGGUACGAGUUCGAUGCUCGUUAUCCGCUC
rnacentral:tRNA from 4 species